UGUAUCGGUUAGCAUUCGCUCAGUAACGGGUUGUCAGAAGCUCUCUACAUUAGUUCUGUAACAUAGAUUUAACAUAGCCUAGUUCCUCGACUUUCAGGGAUUAAGAGAAAGCUGAUUUCUUGUGAGGCGUCCAGGGAGUGCCUGCUCGCUGGGGAGCUGUUAGUAGAGUCAGCACUGAACCACUUUGGAUCCAACUGUAAGGUGCCAGCUCUGAGACGACACCUCAAAAGAUCACCUCAUGCUUGCCUGUUUGCCUGCUCAACUCUGCCUGCCAUACCCAUCACAUUAUUCCCCACCACAUAGCCUGAUCAUCUCCACCAUCCACCCCUUUCUUUCAGUCCCCUGCCUUGCUAGUCAGCUCCUCACCUCAUACCCUUGCCUGCCAGCCAGACAGUCAGCAUCGAUCACCGUCCAGGC